ACGAACGCUGGCGGCGUGCUUAACACCUGCAAGUCGAACGGUGAAGGGAUCAGCUUGCUGGUUCUGGAUGAGUGGCGAACGGGUGAGUAACACGUGAGUAACCUGCCCCCUUCUUCUGGAUAACCGCAUGAAAGUGUGGCUAAUACGGGAUAUUCUGCGCCUGCUGCAUGGUGGGUGUGGGAAAGAUAUUGUUUCGGUGGGGGAUGGGCUCGCGGCCUAUCAGCUUGUUGGUGGGGUGAUGGCCUACCAAGGCGGUGACGGGUAGCCGGCCUGAGAGGGUGGACGGUCACACUGGGACUGAGACACGGCCCAGACUCCUACGGGAGGCAGCAGUGGGGAAUAUUGCACAAUGGGCGCAAGCCUGAUGCAGCGACGCCGCGUGAGGGAUGGAGGCCUUCGGGUUGUGAACCUCUUUCGCCAGUGAAGCAGGCCUGUCCCGUGUGGGUGGGUUGACGGUAGCUGGAGAAGAAGCGCCGGCUAACUACGUG
rnacentral:rRNA from 1 species